rnacentral:pre_miRNA from 1 species
GCACCUUGGUCACCAUUAUUUGCUCCUUUUAUAUUGAGCAGUACUGGAGACAGGUGG